GAGUCUUUAUUGACCUCCACCAUAUUCACCCUAGCCUCAGAUUGGUGGGCAACAUUAAAAAAUUUCUUCUCCGAGCCUUUGUUGUCUUCCUCAAUUCGAAGUCUAACAAUUAGUUCUUCAACUGUCAUCUCCUUUCACUUAUGCUUAAGGUAAUUUUUGAAGUCUUUCCAACCAGGUGGUAACUUUUCAAUAAUACAAGCCACUUGAAAAGAUUCACUAAUUACCAUACGUUCAGCAUGAAUCCCAUGAAUAAUCAGCUGGAGUUCUUGAACUUGAU
rnacentral:lncRNA from 1 species